rnacentral:rRNA from 1 species
AUGGACAAGCAGCAGGUCUUUGGUUCCUCCUACGUGGACAUGCCUUUCUUCGCGGCCAAUGGUGCAGCCACGGCACAGGGGGAGAGCCGGCCGAGGGCGCGGCGCAGGAGGCGGAGGGCCGCGAGGUGCGGCAGAGGGGACGGUGACGGCGGGGAGAUGGACGGGGGAGGGGACCUCAAGAAGCGGCGGCUGACCGACGAGCAGGUGCACGGUCUGGAGCUGAGCUUCCGGGAGGAGCGCAAGCUGGAGACCGGCCGGAAGGUUCAUCUCGCUGCCGAGCUCGGGCUCGAUCCCAAGCAAGUCGCGGUGUGGUUCCAGAACCGCCGGGCGCGACACAAGAGCAAGCUUAUGGAGGAGGAGUUCGCCAAGCUCAAGCACGCCCACGACGCGGCCAUCCUCCACAAAUGCCACCUCGAGAACGAGGUGCUGAGGCUGAAGGAGAGGCUGGGAGCGACCGAGGAGGAGGUGCGACGCCUCAGGUCGGCAGCUGGGAGCCACGGAGCAUCCGGCGACGGCGGAGACGCCGCUGGCGCCGUUGGCGCGUGUGGCGGGAGCCCGAGCUCGUCCUUCUCGACGGGAACCUGCCAGCAGCAUCCGGGUUUCAGCGGCGCAGACGUGCUGGGGCCGGACGAUGACCUGAUGAUGUGCGUCCCCGAGUAUGGUGGCUACGCCGAUAGCAGCGUGGUCGAGUGGUUUAGCCUGUAUGGGCUAAUUUGA